rnacentral:rRNA from 1 species
GAUGAACGCUGGCGGCGUGCCUAAUACAUGCAAGUCGAGCGAACGGACGAGAAGCUUGCUUCUCUGAUGUUAGCGGCGGACGGGUGAGUAACACGUGGAUAACCUACCUAUAAGACUGGGAUAACUUCGGGAAACCGGAGCUAAUACCGGAUAAUAUUUUGAACCGCAUGGUUCAAAAGUGAAAGACGGUCUUGCUGUCACUUAUAGAUGGAUCCGCGCUGCAUUAGCUAGUUGGUAAGGUAACGGCUUACCAAGGCAACGAUGCAUAGCCGACCUGAGAGGGUGAUCGGCCACACUGGAACUGAGACACGGUCCAGACUCCUACGGGAGGCAGCAGUAGGGAAUCUUCCGCAAUGGGCGAAAGCCUGACGGAGCAACGCCGCGUGAGUGAUGAAGGUCUUCGGAUCGUAAAACUCUGUUAUUAGGGAAGAACAUAUGUGUAAGUAACUGUGCACAUCUUGACGGUACCUAAUCAGAAAGCCACGGCUAACUACG